rnacentral:tRNA from 1 species
GGAAAGAUGCUUGAGAGGCCAAAAAGGCUUGAUUGGAAAUCAAGAGGUCCGCAAGGGCCACAUGGGUUCGACUCCCAUUCUUUCCGCCA